UUCUAGCGGACAAGGUAGAGCUUCAGGAAGCCAGUCUACUCCACAUCUGGAAAAUGAUAAUGAGGGCGAGAAUCCUCUAUCGAAUGCUGAUAUUGUCACCACAGAGGAGUAGGGUGAAGGCGCGCUUUCUACAAGCAAUCAGCUGGACCCUACUAAGCUAUGGUUUGACAAUAACAAAGUCACUCGAUCUAUUACGGAAUGUUUCAAAGAGCACUACGUUGAGCCAUGUAGAAAUUGGACUGAAACAAGUCAAUCAACAAAAGAUCAUUGGUUUAAUCUUUUCAAGGUUAACACUUUAACUUAAUUAUAGUCUAUCGCAUAUAAGACUAUAAAUAUUUAGUCAGUUCUAAUCUUUGCAUGAUACAACGUAAAUACUCUUGGCGCUCGGAGUUGGAUUCGCAAGUAACAGAAGGUUUUCAACGCAAAGCAACUAAAAGACUUAAAGACUUGCAUCAUUGGGUGACAUCGAAGAAAAAAGGUGUAAGACCAAUAUGGAUGCCGGAGGAAGUACACCAACAACUUAUGCAAAAAACAAAAGAUGAUGAAUUUAAGAAAAAAUCUGAACAAGCGAAAAAGAACAAAAGAGGAGGAUCGCUGGAAGGUGUUGUGGAACCUGGACAUUGUCAAGGUUCAAUUUCUACGGCCGAGUAUGCAAGAAGGAUGCUGCAAAAAAUGGAAGAGUAUUGCCAAAAGCUGCUGAUAUUUACUUGGAGACGAAUUCAAAGGAACGACAACCAGGCCAAGACAAGCAACUCAUUGGCUCCAAAUCAAAAUAAAUCAUGGAUGAUUAUAAUAAGAAAUUGGAUGAUUAUAGAGAGAAGGGAGUCAACAAAGAUCCCAAUGAAGUGUACUUUGAGACAGUGGAUGAGAGGAAAAAAAGAUUGAUUCCUGGCUUAGGUACAAGCAGUUAUCUUCUUUACAAAAAAUCAUCAACCCGCACUAGUAGCUCUUCUAGUGUCUACACGCCUUCUAUGCUUUCUCAGCUUUCAACUAUCGUGGAGCAAUAUUAGCAACAAUUAGCAGAUCAGAUAACUGAAUUUUAGAGGCAAAAAAAUGAGUGGGAGACAUAUCGUCUCCAAACGGAAAAGGAAAGGGAAGAGGCAAAAAAAUACAUGGAGGAGAUGAAGACUAUAAUGGAAGAGUAUUCUCAAAUGAUGACUCAGUGUGGAGGUACUUUCCCUUUCACCCAACCACGUGACCCACGUGAUCCUUCUGGUGGUGGAUCGGAAUUUUCUUAUAGUACUUAGAUUUAUAGUCUUUUAUUAGUAUAUUAUAUAUUUUGAGAAAAAUGAUGUUUGAUUUUGGUUGUUGGAAUUACUAUUAGAUCUAUAUUUUGGAGAAUAUGAUGUUUAAUAUAUGUUGUAACAAACCUAUUAUUUUGAUAUAAAAUGGAGGUUUAGUUUAUAUU